ensembl:lncRNA
UGGGAGGAUACACAUACAGCCACCUGAUCUUUGGCUCUGGAACUAAACUGUCUGUAACAGAUGGAAACCAGAAAAGAACGACACAGGCACCGAGAGUUCAUGCAAACACACAGCAGAGCCCCACCCGACCAGCAGGACCCAGAGUCCACGUGGAUGGGAACAGCUCCCUGCUGUGUGUGCCCCCAGCCAUGUUUCCUCCUCUGGUCCAGCUGUCUUGUAAAAGACAGAAGAAGAACGGUGGAGAAGCGGAGGAGCUGCCCCCUGCUGAUGGAGAGCAGCUGGGACUGAUCCAUCAGAACAGCACAUAUAAAUGUAACUGCUACGUGAAGCACGAGGGGGGCACAGUGGAGGCCCAAACACAACAAGAGGUUCCAGCUCCAGCAGCCUCCUGUCCUCCAGAGAGAGAGCCAGCAGACCUGCCAGCUCUGCAGCCAGCUGACUGUAAGAUCACCUGCUGCCUCUCUGCAUGGACAGCUCCAAUGUCCAAUGAGGGAGCUGGAACAAGUUUAGGGACUCAGUCUUAAAGUGUCACUAAUUGAUCAAAUCUUCAUCCAACAAGCUCUGAUAAAGCCACUGUACACUAGCUGCUCAGCACCAAACAGCAGACAGAC